rnacentral:rRNA from 1 species
GGAGGAUAAGAAACUAACAAGGAUUCCCCUAGUAACGGCGAGUGAAGCGGGAAAAGCUCAAAUUUGAAAGCUGGUACCUCCGGUGCCCGCGUUGUAAUCUCGAGACGCGUUUUCCGCGCGGCGCUAUGGACAAGUUCCUUGGAACAGGACAUCGUAGAGGGUGAAAAUCCCGUACUUGCCAUGGAUGCACCGUGCUUUGUGAUACGUGCUCAAAGAGUCGAGUUGUUUGGGAUUGCAGCUCAAAAUGGGUGGUAGACUCCAUCUAAAGCUAAAUAUCGGGGAGAGACCGAUAGCGAACAAGUACCGUGAGGGAAAGAUGAAAAGCACUUUGGAAAGAGAGUUAAAAGUACGUGAAAUUGUCGAAAGGGAAGCGCUUGAAGUCAGCCAUGCCGCUCAGGACUCAGCCUGGCUUUUGCUUGGUGUAUUUCCUGGGUAGCAAGUCAGCAUUGGUUCGGAUCGUCGGAGAAGCAUGGCAGGAAUGUGACGUCCUCGGGCGUGUUAUAGCCUGCCAUUGGAUACGCCGAUCUGGACCAAGGAACGCAGUGCGCCUUACGGCGGGUCUUCGGACACCUUCGCACUUAGGAUGCUGGCGUAAUGG